AAUCAACGCUGGCGGCGUGCCUAACACAUGCAAGUCGAACGCGAAAGCCCCUUCGGGGGUAAGUAGAGUGGCGUCCGGGUGAGUAACACGUAGGUAAUCUACCUUCGGGUGGGGAAGUAACUCGCCGAAAGGCGAGCUAAUACCGCAUAAUGCAGCGGCACCUAAUGGUGAUUAGUUGUUAAAGCGGGGGAGUCGUAAGACCUCGCGCCUGAAGAGGAGCCUGCGGCAGAUUAGCUAGUUGGGA
rnacentral:rRNA from 1 species